GCAACCAGAACUGGGAGGAUAGGAGCCAUGGCAGGCACUGGACCCAGGCUGGAUGUCUAUGUGCUGAGUGCACAGGUGUGACUUCAAAAGUGGAGGGCCUGUGGUGACCCUACAUUUUCCUAUAC